rnacentral:rRNA from 1 species
CCUACGGGAGGCAGCAGUGGGGAAUUUUGGACAAUGGGGGCAACCCUGAUCCAGCAAUGCCGCGUGUGUGAAGAAGGCCUUCGGGUUGUAAAGCACUUUUGUCCGGAAAGAAAUGGCUCUGGUUAAUACCCGGGGUCGAUGACGGUACCGGAAGAAUAAGCACCGGCUAACUACGUGCCAGCAGCCGGGUAAUAC